rnacentral:rRNA from 1 species
UACGGGGGGAGCAAGCGUUGUUCGGAUUUACUGGGCGUAAAGGGCGCGUAGGCGGCCAGUGCAAGUCAGUUGUGAAAUCUCCGAGCUUAACUCGGAAAGGUCAACUGAUACUGCUCGGCUAGAGUGCGGAAGGGGCAACUGGAAUUCUUGGUGUAGCGGUGAAAUGCGUAGAUAUCGUAAGGAAGACCAGUGGCGAAGGCGGGUCUCUGGACAGUUCCUGACGCUGAGGCACGAAGGCUAGGGGAGCAAACGGG